rnacentral:misc_RNA from 1 species
GGCGGAACCGGUGAGUACACCGGAAUCCGAAAGGAUUUGGGCGUGCCCCCGCC